ensembl:lncRNA
GGGGUAUUAUUGUUAUAAAAAAUAAUAAUAAUAGUAUUAUUAUUAUUGUGCUUCGGGCUUUAGGCUGUACUGAUAACGCAGAGGUCUCUUCCUCUGGGCUGUUUAAAGGGCCAGUUUAUCCAAAUGAGCAAAGCUGUGUAUAUACCAGCUGCUGUCAGGCUUCAAAUGUUUGCAUUGGUCCCCUCCACAGUCCACUGUUUUGUAAGCCAUUGCUUUACUGCAUAAGUUCCCAUCUACUGUAACAAGAUGGAGAUAAGCAGGCACAUAAAGGCAUGCUGUAGGUUGACUUUGUCUUUUCUGAUUCGUCGGUUUGUGUGGCUCUUUUCACAGGAGUGACCUAACCCACACUUUUACUUAUAUGAUAAAUGAAGUUUAGUGUAAUGUGGUGCAAAAUACAGUGUUUUCUUUUAAUUUAAUAACAUGAAGCUGCAUCAAGUUUCCAUGGUGACUGUUCAAGAAAUUCUGCAUUCAUAAAUAAACAUCAGACUGUCAAAGGAGCUCAUCUGUGUGACAAGACCACCGAGUGGAGAGCAUUUUCAGGUUGAGAUCCCACCGUACGCCAUCAUUGGAGAGCAUUUAAAAGGUUUUCUUCCCGACUGUGAUUUGACAACGUCUAAAUGGAAUCAAGUCAAGGAAUCUAUAAACCUAUCAGGGUGUUGUUCAUCUUCCGGGCUACAGGACCCAGAUUCAUGCAAACCAAAGCUGACAGAAAAUAUCAGGUAAUUUCUGAGGACCUGAGCGUGGUGGUGAUUAAAUGUCUCCUUUUACUUUUAGAUUGCAAUUAUGACGGAGUUUCUCAGACUUCAGCAGGAAGAUCUAAUUCCACCUAACCUCACUGCUGAAGAUCUGAGAGAUCUUUUGGUGGAGAAGAGCAGGGAGACACUCAGAGAGCAGUGAGGUACUGUCACACUGAAAGUCUGUUUGUGAUGACGUCUAAAUGCUGAGAGAAAACCUCUGCUUUGCUUUCUUUUGAAGGCUGUGGGAGUUUAAAUUGGAGGAUUUUGAAGAAGAGGAAGCCAAACCUCUUCUAAGGCUGGUAUGGGCAGUGAACGUCAUCAAUAAAAUGAGGGAUGCUGAAUUUCAAGCUAGAAUGCUUCUUCGGUUCCCAGAGGCCAUACCUCCUAAAUUUCAACCACCUAAACUCCUCAGCGUGGUGAAGGAUUACAUUGAAAUCCUGAAAAAGAAGCAGCAGGAACAGCAUAACAGCAAAUUGCUCACCGCGCAGGAGGUAGUGAUCGAGGUAGUUCCCCGCGUUCUCCAGGGCUUCUGGGAGCUUCCUCCUCGUCCCCUCCUAAACAUGGCCUCCCAGAGUCUAAGCAUCCUCUCCACGAGUGUCACCAAGGCCACUUUAGAUCGUGUCGCCAAGAGUCUCACGGCGGAAACACAGGCCAUCUUCACCCGCUCCAUCCGAGACAAUAUGGUCGACAGCAUCCUGACAGAGAUCAGGCAGAAAUUUCCUCCAGAAAUUCUGUCUAUCAAAAUUGCAAACUUUGCACCAGUGUUGCUGAAGACCAUUGCUGAUGUAGCAAUGAUCCGGAUAUGUGAAAUGUUUGAGCCCCCUUCAAGUCUUCCUGAUGUGAAGAACACAAAUGAAGAACGCUCCUCUGACGGUCUUUCAAUGGCAAAUGUUCCACCAGCCGAAGGAUCUUUUUCAGAAGGUGUGCCAGAGCCUGAUGUUCCCUGUGAGGAACUUCUUCCUGAAAGUUCACCUAGUCUGAAGGCUGAAGACCUUACAAUUGAAGGAGCUCUUUCAGAAAGUGUGGCAGUGGCUGACGUUCCCUGUGAGGAACCCUUUGCCGAGUCCGAAUCCAGUGUUAACGGCAAAGAUCUUAAGAUCGAAGGAUCUCUUUCGGAAAUUGGGCCAGUUCCUGAUGUUCCAUGUGAGGAACCUUUUCCUGAACCCAAAUCCAGUAUGAAGUCUAAAGACCAUCAGAUCAAUAAUAAUAAGAAGAAAAGGGGCUUCUUCAAAAGACUUAAAAGUCUGUUCUGCUGUUGUUGCAGACCAAAAGACACUGACUGACAUUGAAACUGAAAUUGUCACCGUACUGGGUCUGUGACCCAGCACUGGUGUUCCAGUAACUAAAUAUGUAAAUUUGUUCCUUGAUGAUUGUUGUUCAUGUUUUGGGGGUUUCUUUAGUUUUCAGUGGGCUGGGUGUUUUUUCUUUCCCUUUGUGUUCUUUACUUAAUUCUUGUUCAUAGUUCCUGAUUUGUUUUCCUAGUUCUUGUUACUUAGUUUUUAGUUUUUUGAGUCCAGUUGAGUUUCUAUAUGAGUUUUGAGUUUUUGGUUUGUUUUUGUGACGUUCAUCUCUAAUGAAAAUGUUUUUCCAGCAAAUUUAAGUUAAAUUAAUAAUACAUUAAAAGUGAAAUAAAUUAAGUCAUUCCAUGUAAGAGUCCUGUGUUUGGGUCCUACAACCUGC